rnacentral:lncRNA from 1 species
GUUGUAUUAUUUUCAACCUUUUAGUGGUCACUGUCAAUAGUAGGGACUCCCAGCGCCUAGUAUUUGAUAAGUUUCCAGGAUUGGGCAUUUUAAUCAAGAGAUAAAAGGCUGUUUUUGCAUAUUGCUCUUUUAUUUGGUAUACCGCAUUGACUUUUAUAUUGAAACAUUUACUUCAAUAUUCAUUUGCCAUAAUUUUCUUUUAGAAAUCAUUUGUGAUUAUAUGAAAUAAUAUUAGCUUUUACCUUAUUGGAAAUUGAUAACAUACAAUUUAAAGUUCACCAGGCCCAAGGUCACGUUGAUUUUGCCGACACAUAAUAAUCUGCUUUCAGAGUUAUAAGCAAAAUCACUCAGUUCACAAUUCCAAUUGGAUGGCAUCCCAAGGGCUUAGAUUCAAGAAAAAAAUGUAUUAUUGGGAGUCCCCAAUUUAGUACGUUAUCAAGUGAAUCAGGGCUUGUUUCUCUAAUCAGUCUUGACCAAAACUUCUUUUUUUUGGCUGAGGAAGAAAAGCAAUCAGAAUUAGGAUUUAGAGAUUCUGAGAGCAAAGCCUUCUGGCUUCCAGUAGGUACCUUUGUUAUUCAGCCUUCUUAGAAAGGUUUCCAGCCUGUCCAACUUCAGGUCCGAUUCUAACUGCAUAUCUGGUCUGGCUUCGAUAUCUAGGCAAGCAGAAACCGUCAGUGAGACAGCAUCACUAAGGCCUCUUCUGAUCAGAAACUGCUUGGCGUGGCCGGGGCCUUGGCGACUUACCUUCCAGGGGUUUGGAAACGGGUGUGGUGCCUCUUGUUUUACCGCAAAUGGGUGAGGCUACUGGGGUUAUGGCAGUAGGUGACGCCAAACCUGUGGAACACACAGACGAGCUACUGAGCAUCUCAGGGUCACUUCUGGAAAUCUCCGGGACCCUGGUGGAUCUCCAGAAAUCCCAGGGUAGACGGCACAACAUAUAAGAAUUUACACACAUGCAGGCACACACACACACAUUUCACACGUACCACGACUGUGGGACAACCAACUGCAAACGUAGACUGGAUUUUAUUAUUUCCAAGGACUGUAGUGGCUGACAAGCCGAUAUUCCAAAAUGAACGGUGGAGACGUGGGAAAACAUGUCCAUGACACGUUAACUUGGGCAAAUGCAGCUGUGAGUUCUGAGGCCCUUCGGAGAUGGCAGGGGCAGCUGAGAGUGCAUUGGUGCCAUCUGCAGAAUGAGCUGUGUCACACUUGCCAGCAAGUGGCCCCCCGCAGUGGAGCUCUCCUCCAGGCUGAGGGGAGGGAGGGACAGUGGCCCUGGGGACAUGACACAGACAGUAACCCAAGGAGGGCCAACCUUUCAGAAGAAAUUACAGACCAGGGCAGGUCUGGACCGACUG